AUACGUAGGGUGCAAGCGUUAAUCGGAAUUACUGGGCGUAAAGCGUGCGCAGGCGGUUUUGUAAGACAGUGGUGAAAUACCCGGGCUCAACCUGGGAACUGCCAUUGUGACUGCAAGGCUGGAGUGCGGCAGAGGGGGAUGGAAUUCCGCGUGUAGCAGUGAAAUGCGUAGAUAUGCGGAGGAACACCGAUGGCGAAGGCAAUCCCCUGGGCCUGCACUGACGCUCAUGCACGAAAGCGUGGGGAGCAAACAGGAUUAGAUACCCUGGUAGUCCACGCCCUAAACGAUGUCAACUGGUUGUUGGGGAUUUAUUUUCUCAGUAACGAAGCUAACGCGUGAAGUUGACCGCCUGGGGAGUACGGCCGCAAGGUUAAAACUCAAAGGAAUUGACGGGG
rnacentral:rRNA from 1 species